rnacentral:rRNA from 1 species
ACGAACGCUGGCGGCGUGCCUUAAGCAUGCAAGUCGAACGAAGACAAUGCUUCGGUGUUGUUUUAGUGGCAAACGGGUGAGUAACGCGUAGUUAGUUGCCUUGAGGAGAGGGAUAGUCAUGGGAAGCUAUGAAUAAUACCUCAUAUGUCUACGGAUGAAAGCAGUAAUGCGCCUUGAGAUACGACUGCGUCCCAUCAGGUAGUUGGUAGGGUAAUGGCCUACCAAGCCUAUGACGGGUAGCCGGCCUGAGAGGGUGUACGGCCACAUUGGAACUGAGAAACGGUCCAGACUCCUACGGGAGGCAGCAGCUAGGAAUUUUCCGCAAUGAGCGAAAGCUUGACGGAGCGACGCCGCGUGAGGGAUGAAGGUGUUUUUGACAUUGUAAACCUCUUUUAUAUAGGACGAGAAAGGACGGUACUAUAUGAAUAAGCCCUGGCUAACUACGU